UACGGAGGGUCCAAGCGUUAUCCGGAAUCAUUGGGUUUAAAGGGUCCGUAGGCGGUUUUGUAAGUCAGUGGUGAAAGCCCAUCGCUCAACGGUGGAACGGCCAUUGAUACUGCAAGACUUGAAUUAUUGGGAAGUAACUAGAAUAUGUAGUGUAGCGGUGAAAUGCUUAGAGAUUACAUGGAAUACCAAUUGCGAAGGCAGGUUACUACCAAUAUAUUGACGCUGAUGGACGAAAGCGUGGGGAGCGAACGAGGA
rnacentral:rRNA from 1 species